rnacentral:rRNA from 1 species
UACGUAGGGUGCGAGCGUUAAUCGGAAUUACUGGGCGUAAAGCGUGCGCAGGCGGUUGGUUAAGUCUGAUGUGAAAGCCCCGGGCUCAACCUGGGAAUGGCAUUGGAAACUGGCUGGCUAGAGUGUGGCAGAGGGGGGUGGAAUUCCGCGUGUAGCAGUGAAAUGCGUAGAGAUGCGGAGGAACACCGAUGGCGAAGGCAGCCCCCUGGGCUGACACUGACGCCUCAGGCACGAAAGCGUGGGGAGCAAACAGG